GAGAGAUCACCAAGAGGCAGCUUGGCUUUAAUGCUCCUCUCUGCUGGAGGUAAGCACUUAGGGACUGCUACUGACAAGAGAGGAAGCCUUCAGUAAGCUUGUGUCUGCAGCUCUUCACCUCAAUGGAUCAUAAAGCUGCCUUUGAGAAGUUAACACAGAGGGGAAAUGCAACAGAAAACUGAGUGGAAUUUUUGUCUGCCUGGAGACCGAUGAGUUCAGCAUGGAGCAUCCUGACACAUAUGGAGCAUAAAGGAACAAAGAAGAGCAACUGGAUGGAGGACAAGUACAAGAAGCAUAAGAAAACUGUAUGAACCAUAGAAGGCAGUGAUCAUCAUGUGCUCUAUCAUUAUGAACUGCAGCACAUCUCUGAUUAGGGUUCAGGCAUUUGUCUUACCAGUCCAGGUCAUCUCAAAAAGUGUCCUCAGCUGAAACUAGAAGUUUCAGCACUAUAAGGUACUGCUUAAAUACUGUCUUAGACUAGUUGUCGCAACUUAGCUUAUAAUAAUGCAUCGCAUUAUUCUUUGAAUGCACUGGACAAGAUUCCUGAGGCACUGCAUGACAAUCAUCUUAUAAUCACCCCUUAGCUCAAGCAAAAGUGAAAGCAAAGACAACAUCCUAACUGUGGUAAAUUGCAACGGCUUCAUUUGGCCUCUGAUUUUUAUCUGCUGUCUCAAGGUCUUGACUAAGACUGAUUUCACAGCAACUCUUUAUGACCUCUAUACUUGUCAGUCUGAACCCUGUAUAGUCUAGGACACAUUUUUUAUUCUAUGGACUUAAAACAUAUUAACAAGGUAUUUUAUUUUUUACCUUUACACCUGGAGCACCUGGAAAACCUGGAGAACCAGUUAUGCCAAGUGGGCCCUAUAGAAGACAGACACAAAGCUGUAAUUCUGCAGUUUAGAUCACAGAUUAGUACCUAAUCGCUGGGUGAAUAUGGUUCUGGGAUUAAGUGUAUUUUUUAGUUAUAAAACAUUUUUUUUUUACAAAAG